rnacentral:rRNA from 1 species
GGGUGAGUAAUGUCUGGGAAACUGCCUGAUGGAGGGGGAUAACUACUGGAAACGGUAGCUAAUACCGCAUAAUGUCGCAAGACCAAAGAGGGGACCUUCGGGCCUCUUGCCAUCAGAUGUGCCCAGAUGGGAUUAGCUAGUAGGUGGGGUAACGGCUCACCUAGGCGACGAUCCCUAGCUGGUCUGAGAGGAUGACCAGCCACACUGGAACUGAGACACGGUCCAG